UUGAGGUGAAGUUCUGUUAUACACUUUGACUGUGGCUACAUGGAAGUCAGUGCAUCACAGAACUUUGUCUCGAG
rfam:Ophiophagus hannah scaffold469.1, whole genome shotgun sequence.